CAAAUCAAAUGAAAUAAUACUAAUUAAUUACUUAAGUACUUAACGUUUUAUUCCUUAACAUAGAAAGACAAAAAAGGCACUCAAAAAGUUCAUACAAGUUAUUGCACUACAAAACAAGGGUCUCCUCCUUUACAUAGGUCACCAUUUUUAUUUCAUUACAUGCCUGCUUAAAACUAGAAAAUUUCACAUUAGUCCGUAAACACGAGACUAUGUGGUUAUUAUUGCCUCUAACUCUUUAUUCAGAUGCACGCUGCCUCUGUCGAGACACGAAGUAAGACUCUUGUGGGUUGUUGUUGAAUAUCUCAUCCACCAACCUCGAUGACACCCCAAAGGCCAACUCCUUGGCUUGGCUAUCCCAUUGUCUCACAUGGUUGAUUUUCCCAGCCACGAAGAUCCUCUGGUUAUGGUCUGGGUUAAUGUUCUGGUUGUAAAGACCGAACCCAGUCAUCCGCAGGUUCUGGUUUUGGGAUGCAACGAAUGUAACUGGGAAGUUUGCUGGGACUACAAAUAUGUCUCCACGCGACAACUGGGACCUUAUUUUCCUGUAUUGCCCACUUCUCCUUUCCUCUUCUUGUUCUUGUUCUUGUUGUUGUUCUUCUUCUU
rnacentral:lncRNA from 1 species